AUUGCAUUUUAAGGGCGGAUGGAGGAUGCCUUGGGAGGUUGAGGCGAUGAAGGACGUAGGGUGCUUGCGAUAAGCCUCGGGGAGGUGGCUACCAACCUUUGAUCCGGGGAUUUCCGAAUGGGGAAACCCGUUUCGGUGAUAAAUCGAAACAGUCCAGUCAAAUGACCGGACGGCGUACCUGCUGAAGUGAAACAUCUCAGUAAGCAGAGGAAAAGAAAAAGUAAUUUUUAUUUCCCCAGUAGCGGCGAGCGAAAAGGAAAGAGCCUAAACCAAACGCAUAACUUGUUAUGCAUUUGGAGUUGUAAGAAGAUAAUGUCGGGAGUAUUUCUGAUCAAUAGAAAUGCUGCCGAGGGAGAACAUUUAGACGAAAUUUGGUUAGCUGAAAUACCCUGGAAAGGGAUACCAAAGAUGGUAAUAGUCCAGUAGGUGAAAACCAUUUCGUGCUCCUUGUUAUCUAUCUUAAGUACCUCGGGACAUGAAAAGCCUGAGGGAAACAGGCCAAACUAUUAGGCCAAGGCUAAAUACUCAACCUCACCGAUAGUGAACCAGUACCGUGAGGGAAAGGUGAAAAGUAGGGAGGUGAUCCCGGUGAAAUAGAACCUGAAACCAUCACGCCUACAAAGAGCAGAAGCCCGACCCGAAAGGGUAUAGGGUGACUGUGUGCUUUUUGCAGAACGAGCCAACGAGUUCAGCUCUUUCUUUCGUUUAAGUCCCUCUGGGACGAAAACAAAGCGAAAGCGAGUGUUAAAAGCGCGUACCCGUUUAUUCGGGAAAAGAAAGGGCUGAGACACGAAGCCAAGCGAGCUUGCCAUGGUUAGGGUGAGUCUCAGAGAAAUCUGGGAGGAGGCCCGAACCCGUGAACCGUGCAAUAUUCUGGGAUAAACUGUGGUAAGAAGUGAAAAGCUAAACGAGCUUGGUAAUAGCUUGUUCUCCCCGAAAUAGCUUUAGGGCUAGCGCCUUUUACUUUCCUGGGGGUAGAGCACUGGAUGGAGUACCGUGGCUUUUUGCUAGAUGCUCCAACCAAACUCCGAAUACCGGGAAAUAAAGGUAAGAGGCAGUCAGACUAUGAGGGCUAAGCUUCGUAGUCGAAAGGGAAACAGCCCAGAUCUUAAUCUAAGGUCCCUAAAUUUGAGCUAAGUGCUAAAAAAGAAGUGGGAUUUCGUUGAUAGUUAGGAGGUUAGCUUAGAAGCAGCUAUCCUUUAAAAAGUGCGUAAUAGCUUACUAACUAAGGGAUUCUGCACCUAAGAUUUCCGGGGCUAAGCUCAAUACCGAAGAUAAGGCCGAGCACAUAAUUUAUGUGCUCGGGGUAGGGGAGCGUUCCUAUUGCGAUGAAGCCUAAGAGUAAUUGAGGGUGGAGCGAUAGGAAGUGAAGAUGUUGGCAUGAGUAACCGCAAUGCAGGUAAAAUCCCUGCACACCGAAAGCCUAAGAUUUCCUUGGCAAUGGUAAUCAACCAAGGGUUAGGCGGGCCUAACCGAGUAUAUAAUCAGAUUAUGUGCUUGGGAUGGACAGCCGGUUAAUAUUCCGGCCCCCCCGUCCUUUUUUGAAGAGUGACGCAGUCAAAGCAUUUGAGAGGAUUAUUGGAUUUCCGAGAGUCGAGAGUAAUCUCGACCGUCUCGAAUAUUAGACUGCCUAGAAAAACUCGUAGAGUUAAAGGGGCGGGGUCCGUAUCGCAAACCGACACAGGUAGGCUGGCGUAAGAGUGCCAAGGUGAACGGGUGAAACCUCGUUAAGGAACUCGGCAAAAAAGUGUCCGUAAGUUCGCAAUAAGGACUCCCCCGACCCGAAAGGGUUUAGGGGGCGCAGCGAAAGUACCCCAAGCGACUGUUUAUCAAAAACACAAGUCCCUGCUUAAACUCGCAAGAGGAUGUAUAGGGGCUGAAGCCUGACCAGCGCUGGAACGUUAACAGUGGCGGUCUCGAUCUUCAAGAUUGAGGCUAACUGCUCGAAGCUUCCAGUAAGCGUCCGCGGUAACUAUAACCGUGUUAAAGUAGCGUAACCCCUUGCCGGGUAAGUUCCGGCCCGCAUGAAAGGCUUAACGACUUGGGGACUGUCUCAACGAGGAGCCCGGUGAAAAUGCAAUACCGGUGAAGAUGCCGGUUACCUGCGGCUAGACGGAAAGACCCCGGGAGCUUUACUGUAGCCUUUUAUUGUCCUAUUGUUUUAGAUGCGUAGCGUAGCGGGGAGGCGAUGAAGUCCUGAUUCUGGUCAGGGCAGAGCCGUCAAUGAAACACCCGUCUUUUAAAAUGGUAGGACUAAUCUUGAAUAAAUUCAGGAGACAGUGGAAGGUGGGCAGUUUAAGUGGGGCGCUUGCCUCCUAAAAAGUAACGGAGGCGUUUAUAAGGUCGGCUAGCUCCGGAUGGAAAUCGGAGCGGUCGGGUAAAGCCAAAAGCCGGCUUGACUGCAAGCAGGAUAUUGCGCGCAGACACGAAAGUGGAACUUAGUGAACCGACCCUGGUUAAUAGAAUCGGGGAAGAUCAUCAGCCAAAAGCUACCCCGGGGAUAACAGGCUAGUAGGGCCCGCGAGUCCAUAUCUACGGCCCUGUUCGGCACCUUAACAUAUCGGGGUGCUAUAGUAGUAAUGCUAUAUCUCGCUUAAGGCGGGACGAAAAAACUGACUUAUAACGGUGAAAUCCAUAUGUUAUAAUAUUAUAUAUGGACAAUACCGUGGGAAGUUUAACUCAAUUUCAAAAUUAGAAAUAAAUAUUAAUCCGGUGAUUUUAUCGAUUUGGUUUAUGGAUGACGGAAGCAAAUGCGGUAAUUCAAAUUUUUAUCUUAACACCCAACAAUUUACAAAAAACGACCAAGAAUUUUUGAUUAAAAAGUUAUCAAUUCU
rnacentral:rRNA from 1 species